CUGGAAUGCAUCGAGAUCUAAAGCUCCGGCGCCUAAGGAUGGGUCUGCGGCCUAUCAGGUAGUAGUGGGUGUAGCGUACCUACUAGCCUACGACGGGUACGGGUUGUGAGAGCAAGAGCCCGGAGAUGGAUUCUGAGACACGAAUCCAGGCCCUACGGGGUGCAGCAGGCGCGAAAACUUUACAAUGCUGGAAACAGCGAUAAGGGGACCUCGAGUGCCAGGUUACAAAUCUGGCUGUCGUGAUGCCUAAAAAGCAUUGCAUAGCAAGGGCCGGGCAAGACCGGUGCCAGCCGCCGCGGUAACACCGGCGGCUCGAGUGGUAACCGUUAUUAUUGGGUCUAAAGGGUCUGUAGCCGGCCGGAUAAGUCUCUUGGGAAAUCCAGCAGCUCAACUGUUGGGCUUUCAGGAGAUACUGUCUGGCUCGAGGCCGGGAGAGGUGAGAGGUACUUCAGGGGUAGGGGUGAAAUCUUGUAAUCCUUGAAGGACCACCAGUGGCGAAGGCGUCUCACCAGAACGGACCUGACGGCAAGGGACGAAAGCUAGGGGCACGAACCGGAUUAGAUACCCGGGUAGUCCUAGCCGUAAACGAUACUCGCUAGGUGUCGGCCACGGUGCGACCGUUGUCGGUGCCGUAGGGAAGCCGUGAAGCGAGCCACCUGGGAAGUACGGCCGCAAGGCUGAA
rnacentral:rRNA from 1 species